GGGACCUUUUAAUUAAUCAGCAUAUUUGUACAUAAGAACAUUCAAGGAAUUUGAGUACUUAGAAUACUUGGAGCUAUAUUUUAACAGCUAUUGAUCAUUGAGACAGCUUUUAAAACAAUGGUUAGUAUGACAUUUUUGAGAUUGUUCUGGUUAGUUGUAGGAAGAAUUAUUUCAUAAGAUAGAUGUUAAAAGUGUUCUUUGAAUACACAUACUAUUUUGAAUAGUCAAUUUGUACAAUUUUAUGUCUGAUGGGUAAAUAAUUUUUAAUGUCCCACCCCUCCUAAUGGUGAAGUGGUUAGGACUGUAUAAAUAAAAGACAAUGCUUUUGGAAAAAAUUUUCAAUAAAUCAGAUGUAAGCACUACCUAGUAAGUCUACUUUCAAAUCAAAUCAUAAUUAAUGACAGGUGCCUAUUAUAAUGCCAUACAGAUAUUUUAAUGCUCACAAGUUAUUUUUCG
rnacentral:lncRNA from 1 species